CCAACUUCCUUGCAGUGGGUUUGUUGCGAGGUUCUGUACAGAAACAACCGGGUCACACUUCCCAGCGGGAUGAUGUCUGCGGUUGCACUCAGUCUGUUCCUGGCAUUAAUAGUCCGUGUCCAUUCCGAGAUCGUUCUCACUCAGCCCAAGACAGGGACCGCCGUUCCUGGAGGCUCCAUCACACUGACCUGUAAAACCAGCGGGUUCACUCUUAGCAGCUACGGGAUGAAUUUGGUCCGUCAGGUCCCCGGGCAGGGGCUGGAGUGGCUGCUUUACUACUACACUUCUUCUAGCAAGUACUUCGCUCCAGGGAUCGAGAGCCGAUUUACUCCGUCCAAAGACAAUUCGAAUAAUAUGUUCACCGUGAUCGCCAGGAACCUGAAGAUCGAAGACACCGCUGUCUAUUACUGUGCGAGAUGGGGUAUGACACAGCGGUUCCUACCAAUACAAAAACAUCCACAACCCAUAAUACUACACCGUGCCUAUCUUGACUACUGGGGAGGAGGCAGCAUGGUGACGGUAACCAGCGUGGCUCAAUCCCCGCCCAGCCUCUUCAUUCUCUUCACCUGUGAGGAUCACGGCUCCAGUGGUUCGUUCACCUACGGUUGUUUGGCGUUGGGCUAUUCCCCUGCGGGCGCCAGUGUUUCUUGGAAGAAAGAUGAUAAAGAACUGACCACCGGAGUGAAGGACUACCCGGCAGUGUUCAAUAAGUUGGGAACUUACACCCGGAGCAGCGAGUUAACCAUCACCGAGGCGGAGGCAGGGACAGGCGACAUCUUCUGCGUGGUUCAGCACAACCAAACAGACUAUGUAGAGAAAGUACCAGACCGCGUGGUACAUCAUCCUAACGUCUCCAUUACCAUAAGUGCCCUUGAUGAAAUCAAGCUCAGCAGAAUAGCGAUCGCCGUGUGUUUGGUCAACGAUUUCACUCCAGCGAAAUUUACUGUGACCUGGCUGAAGAAUGGCGAGUCAUUGGAUUCUGGCAUCGUCACCUCUCCCGCCUUCCAGGUGAACGGUAACGAUAACUUCUCGGCGACCAGCCAGUUGACAUUCCCAGCUGCAGAGUGGUUCAAAGGUUCCGUCUAUACCUGCCAAGUCAAGCAUGAAAACAAUUUGAAAAGCCAAAACAUCAGUAUACCUCAAGUUGAUAGUUCCUGCGAACUGAAGAUUACAAUCCUUCCUCCACCUGUUGAACAAGAGUUAAUGGAGAUGACCGUAACAUUAACCUGUCGGGUAUCCGAUGCACCUUAUGAUAUCACAGUAUCUUGGAACCACAAAAAGGAACAUUUGGAUUCAGAGAUCCAGCCCACAGGACAUGCAGAUAUCGUAGAGAGCAAAGUCAACAUUUCAACUCGUGACUGGCUGAGUGGGGAUUAUUUCGAAUGCGUGGUGAGCCAUUAUGAUAUGCCGACUCCAAAAACUGGACGAAUCAACUGGAAGAAAGGUCAACAUCUGCUGCCACCGUCCGUCUCAGUCCUUCUGCCGCCGACAGAAGAAAUCUCCGCGCACAAGACUAUCACCCUCACCUGCUUUGUGAGAGGAUUCUCCCCUCGCAGGGUCUUUGUCACGUGGACACUUGAUGACAAGCGGGUGGAUGAGAGCAAGUACAAGAACACAGAGGUGGUGGCGGAGAACGGCAAUGAUACCUUCUUCACCUACAGCCUGUUAUCCAUUGGGGCAGAGGAGUGGGCUAGCGGAGCCUCCUUCUCCUGUCUAGUGGGGCACGAAGCACUCCCCAUGAAGACCAUCGUCAGAACGGUCAAUAAGUCCAGCGGUAAACCCAGUUUUGUCAAUGUUUCCCUUGUAUUGAUGGACACUGUCAAUUCCUGUCAAUGAGAAUUAAUUAGUUUCAAAUGUCUCUGCAAUAAAUACUAAUAAAUAUCUUUAACCUCCAA